CACGUAGUUAGCCGUGGCUUAUUCACCGGGUACCUUCAAUUGCUCACGCAUGAGCUUUUUAUCCCCCGGCAAAAGCAGUUUACAACCCAGAAGGCCUUCUUCCUGCACGCGGCAUGGCUGGUUCAGACUUGCAUCCAUUGACCAAUAUUCCCUACUGCUGCCUCCCGUAGGAGUCUGGCCCGUAUCUCAGUGCCAGUGUGGGGGAUCAACCUCUCAGUUCCCCUACUGAUCAUCGCCUUGGUAGUCCGUUACACUACCAACUAGCUAAUCAGACGCAUGCUCAUCCCAUACCGUCUUGCGACUUUAAUUAUCAGGUGAUGCCACCCAACAAUAUUACGGAGUAUUAAUCCGGCUUUCGCCGAGCUAUUCUCCUGUACAGGGCAGAUUGCAUACGUGUUACGCACCCUUACGCUACUCUCAUAUCAUAUUGCUAUAAUAUUUACCGUUCAGCUUGCAUGUAUUAGGCCUGCCGCUAGCGU
rnacentral:rRNA from 1 species